rnacentral:rRNA from 1 species
AGUGAAUAUUAAACGGCCGCGGUACCCUAACCGUGCAAAGGUAGCGUAAUCAUUUGUCUAUUAAUUGUAGACCUGUAUGAAAGGCAAAAUGAGGGUUUGACUGUCUCUUAUAAUCAAUCAAUUAAACUGAUCUUCUGGUAAAAAAGCCAGAAUAUUCACAUAAGACCAGAAGACCCUGUGAAGCUUAAACUAAACUAUUAAACCCUAUAAUAACUACUUUCGGUUGGGGCGACCUUGGAAAAAAAAAGAACUUCCAAAUACAGUGACUAUAAACCACUUUACAUUAGGCCUACAAGCCCACUUUUUAAACAUAGACCCAGCACAGCUGAAAAUUGAACCAAGUUACUCCAGGGAUAACAGCGCUAUCUUCUUUAAGAGCCCAUAUCAAAAAGAAGGUUUACGACCUCGAUGUUGGAUCAGGACAUCCUAA